rnacentral:lncRNA from 1 species
AAAGAAAUCCCCAAGUCACGUGAAGAUGGUCACCAGGGAAUGAAAUCCCUAAAUCAUCUCCAUCUCCUCUUUUAUUUUCUUCUUUCAUUCCAGCGGCGGUAACAACGAGCAAGGGUCUCACGCCGGCGACAGAGACGAUGACGACACGGCUUCGACAUGCUAUCUAUCUUCCUUCUUUGCUCUCCGUCCUUCUCAUCUCAGCGGCACCGGCAAAGGGAACGGUUUAUGGCUAAACCGAGCUCACCGAAGAGACCCAUCAACGGUGAAGCCCCAAAGCCACCAAGCUUCUUCGUCCAUGGCAGUGGGCAACCGAGAGCGAUAUGGCACUGGUUCGUGACGGUGGUGAUUCGCGGUGGUUCGAUUCUCACUCUCGGUGGUUUAUGGUGGUUCGAUUUUCGUCCGUGACGACUUUGAAUCGGGUAACGAAAUGAGGAAUCAUCCUCCUCAAUCUCUUUGUUUUGUUUUUCACUAACCUUCUUUUACUUUGAUUCAUUGUUCAUCCUUUGUUUAUGGUUUUUUUAUAAUGAAUGGGGUUAAGAUCCCUAAUCCUUAUUUUUAUCCUCCAUUUGUUUUAUUUUAGACUCUUGUAUUUGCGUUUUAGAAUUAUCGAUAUUAUAUACUGCAAAAAAGACUAAGAUUGAUAGGUUUUCUUGAAACAAAAAUUACUGAAAAGGGUUUUCUAUUUCGUCAUAUAAUGCAUAUUGAUGUCAAUGAUUAAUACAGAUUCAUAACCUGAGUGAUAAUGAUAACAACAGAACCAUAUACAUGGGAUUUAUAAUUGUAGGAUUAGCAUUUAGCAGGGUCUAGAGUGCAAUGUAUUGCAAUGUCGUCUUAAUUCUUUGCUGCUUAUGUAGCUUGAAGAUAGGCUUAUGACAAAUGAGUUUGGGUAACGAUUAUUCCUAAAUUAGUCAAAACUGUUUUUAAGAUUAUCGUGAUAUGUUGUUUUAUUUGAUCCAGUGUGUUUCUAUGUAACUGUACGAACAUGGUAGUACAAAAUAGGUAUAAGGACAGAAAACCAGUUUAGAAGCUGAAUAAGGAAAUAUUACCUGGUAUGACGUGUGAUUUUUUACGGAGUUGCUUCAAUAAUACGGAUGUUGUAUGUUAUUGGUUGGAUCUCCACGUGUGUAUUCUGGAUUGCGGUUUUUGUCCUUGUUUCUGGGUUUUCUGCACUAUAUGUGAUGCUUAAAAAAUAUGUGUGUUAUCUUUUCUCCGUUAUGGUCUCUUCCUGAAUUUCCUAUAUUCUGGUCCCUUGUCACUGCAUAUAUGUGUAUGCUCCUAAUGUUUCCUUGUUAUCACUAUGUGGUUUGUAUGUGUGUAUGCUAAUUCUGGAUGAUCUCUUUGUCUUGCUGAAAGCUUUUUCUAGCGUUUUAUGUUCUCUCUACAGCUUUUUGAUUGCACUAUAACUGUAUACUCUCUCCUCUUUUCUCUUUUACUGAGUUUCUCUGGAAUGCUCUCUGCUUGUACUGAGUGUAUGUGUGUAGCAAUGUUAUCUCCCCCCUUGAUUGAAGAGGUGACUCCCUAUUUAUAGUUGUGUUGAUACCAAAACCCUUUCAAAUGACUGAUUGAAUUAUUUCUGAAAUCCAAUGACCCUUGCUUUCUGAUUUUAACUCCCCUUGAAUGUUGUCCAUGAUGGCUGAUUUGUAACUGAAAUGGUGAAGCUUUCAGAUUUGCAUUUGUUUCAGAUUCCUUUUGUAAUCAAUAGCUGUUUCUCUUUUAUAGCUGAUUACAGUUUCCUAUUGAUAUGUGAAAGCCUUUUGAUUUGCUAAUUGUGGUUCAACUUAUCAAGACCCUUUGUCUUUUCUGAUUAUUACCGUUUAAGUUUGUCCAUCAGUUCUGCUGAUUGUAACUGAAAAAAUAAUAAUUCUGAUUCUCAUCUAUUUCAUUGCCUCAUCAUGUAUGACUCUUAGUUGACUGUUUAGAAUGCUCCCUUGCAUUGGUUAUUCCUUUAAGGUGUCUCAUCAUUGCUGUCAUUCAUGCUUAUUGUAACUAAAAUGCCAAUGAUGUUGUCUUUACCUGUUGAGUGCCUACUUUUAUUUGGGAAUUAUGCUGAUUCAUGUUUGAUUGUUCUUUAAAACUGUGCAACUGAAAUAGAAUAGGUGCUUUGGGUCGCGACCCUUUAUCUCCUGACUUGAUAUUAACCUAUGUGGACUUUCAGUUAUGUAGGAAAUGUAAAUGCCACGAAUCAGCCCCUUGCAGAAGUUUUUCAGAGUGCUGGUCCUCUUGCUCUAAAGCUGAUGGGAACAAUGCCAUUCCACCAAUGAAGCUUAUCCCAUUAAGAUAUGCAUUAUGGCCAGGCACAUCUUCCAGAAUUUCAUUUGACGCAAUGUGUUCUGCAUAGUNN